CCUCUGCUUUACACAGGGACUGAGUAUCUUGUUGCAAACAGAUGGAGUACAGGCAGGUUGGGAUGUGAACGCUUUUCCGUCUCCGCUCUAUCACUCUGUGGCCCAAAAUUGGACAUAAAUACCGUCUUUUUCUUUUUUCCCCUCUUACCCAUGUCUCUGCUACUUGCUUUUCUGUGGCACUGAUGCUGAGCUAACAUCCAGGAAGCAGAGGGAUGGCAAGGACUGCGCCUAAAACACCGACUCAGGGUCCUGCCCCUGGCCCAUCUCCAUUGACCAGCCUGGGGCUGGUCACUGGGACUUGGGAGAGAAGCCCUAAAAGAAUCUUCUGUCCCUCUGCCUUCCAGCUGCUUCCAUUUUCCCUAGCUUGAAGUAAAAUCUCAGCUGUAUACAUGGAUACAGGAACUACAUCACUUGUUGGCACUGGCCUAUCCUGAGGACAGCAGGAAUUCUCCAUCAGGAGCUUCGGUGAGUUUAGUUACACUUCAUCAAAACUCAUAUGGGUGUCAGAAAAAUGGAGAUCAUAACCUUGAUAUUACAACCUUGUAGAAAAAGACCCUACUCUGAGGCUUGUGGUGUGAAUUUUGAGUUCUGCUGCUCAAAUACCCCUUUCUGCAACUGCUUUUAGUGAAUAAAUCUUGUGACUGUAAAUGCCACAUGUGCUACAAUGGUAUUUAAAGCCAAAUUAUCAGAAAAUGCUCCACUUGAACAGGGGAUUUUAAUCAGUGUUUGUUGGUCACUCAAAUGCUGCUGAACAAGAAAUUCUUUAAGAGUUAAGAGUCACACAUGUACACUUGUAAGUGAAGGACAUUUCUAUCCCCCAGCCCUAGGUGCCAGAGGAAGAAGGGCACAAAGUCCUUCCACACAUGGAGUGGACUCCACAGAUGGACAAACACAGGGGGAGAAAUGAGCAGAUGGUGGACAGGAGGCAUGAAAGCCACAGCUCAUCUGCAUGGGCCCAGUCCAGAUUGCACUGGGAAGGUUCCUGAGUCAGCUCCCUGCCGAGACCGCAGGCAGAGGUGGGGAAAUGUGAUCAAUAGGAAGCAUCAAUCGUUGGCUUGGCAAUCAAAGGCAAAACUGUGGAAAUGCCACUCCGUAAAUGGGGUUUCACUGCACUGCCAGGAAGUUCUCUAGAGGCAUUGGAAGGACCAACCCAGUAAUAGGAAAUUAAUCAGAAGCAUUUUUGAGCAGCUCCUUGGCUGGUGAGUGCUGCUGGGGCUAUUUAUACCUCUGAACUGCAGCAAUUUACCCUGCUAAGGAGCUGCUCAGAUGUCACACAUUAGCCACUGCCAGAACAAGUGACCUUCCUGCACAGUAUGUUAAGAACAAAGAGAUGAAAAUUCCCAUUUUCCAAGCAGGGUCCCAAAAAACCUCUGUGUGCUUGUUAAACCAGCUGCAUUGAAGAGGAGUGAUUAGAACAGGCCUUUUUAUUUUUUUAGUCUGCACCUGUCUCUCGUUCCACAGCUGAGGACACACUGAAAUCUACUUCUCUCCAGACCUGAUCCUGUAAGAGCUUCAGGUGGUAAUUAAAUUCAUCAUUAUCUACAUCUAUUUCUACUUGAUGGGAAAAGCCACCUGAAGGCCAGCAGUUGCUGGAACUUGCAGUAAUGAGUCACCCAGAAGGGGGGAAAAAAGCUCCCCAAUUUCUCCAUCCCCAGAUGGGUGAGAUUUUUCUUGGUUUUCAUUCUUAUGGAAGUCGAGGCCUUGCAGAGGAGGGAGGAUCAAUUUAAGCAGUCUUGUGUGUCGGCCUCUUGAGAAGGUGACAACUUCACUCCCAGCUAGGAAGAGAGGUUCCCUGACGGUUCUAUCAAGAAAUACACAGGAAGGAACUGUGCCAGAUUACUGCAGAAAAGACGUAAGUGGGAUUUUUUUUUUUUUUCUGAGGAAUUUAAGACAUUUUUAGGGAGAAACCUUGGUUCAGCAUUGUCCCUGGAGAAAUGGGACCAGUAAUUUUCUCUCCUGGCAUAUCCCUUUAUUGUAAAUAUGUUUGAAGGGCACAGAGUGCUUUGAGGUAUUCCACUUAUUCCAUGGAAAUGAGCAGUAGCAUUUUUAAUGAGUGGUUUUCAUUUAAAGUAUCUUCCCUCUUGCAUAGGAAUAACUUUUUUAUUCUCUAUUAUUUUGCUCAGGUAAUUCUAAACACAUUGACCUCACCUGCCUUCAGAGCUGAAGUUUCUUCAUAUUCCCUCAGCUGCUCUUGCCCUGUGAACUGCUGGCAUGCUACCAGCAGUCUGAUUUCUGGCACAGUGACACAGACCUAAUGGCUUCAAAGUUGUCACUAUUGGCAUUUUUUAAAUUCAAAAGCAUUGAAUAUUUCUGCCUUUAAGAUGUGAAGGGUGCUUGGAAAUUACGGUCACUGUACAAGCAAAUUAUUUUUUGUACAGUCAGUCAGACAUCCCAAAUAAUCUCCAUUUCUGGGGAAGCAAAAAUGUCAAAGUAGAACUUGAAUUGGUUUGUGUCAAAUUGCUGUAUGGGGCUAGGGCAAGACAGCAUGAUGCUCACUGUAAAUAACUAACAAAAAACAUGCAUAGCACUAAAACAUGUCAAAACAGAGGAAUAAUUCAUUAUUGUGAUACAAAAUGCUGUUUCACCUUGACCCAAAGUGUCACACCAGGUUUUAUCACGUGGCAAUUAGAUGUGACAUUCUAAAAAAGAUUCAUUUUCAAGGGGAAUUGUAGCUCUUUCUUUUGUUGAUUAAUUGUACUUUUGUCACUGCCUGAAAUACGAAUAAGAUUAGGUUUUUUUAAGGCAAAUGCAUUUAAUGUGAACAAUAUCCCCCAGAAUAUCUUGCUACAGAAUUAAAACCAAAUUAAACAAGAAAUCUGGGAAACAGUCUUAAAUUAUUUUUAGAAAUUUUAGAAAUAUGCCAGAUUUAGCAAGGAUCUUUUUUGCCUCCUAAAAAUUGUUAUUUAUGUAUUUAUCUUCUGUCAAAGCAAAAUAGAUUGUAAGAUUUUUUUUGAUUUCAAGGCUGUACUGGACUUUUGCAUAGUUAGAUUUCAAUUACAUGAUAGAAAAUGACCAUUUUUGGCAUUCUAAUCAGCUAGUGAACAAAUUCCCUAAAAACUAGGGCUAUGAACCAGAAAAUGUUAUUCAUUAAUUUUGUUUAUGGUGAUUUAAUUUUAAUUAUAAUACUUUGAAGCUAUUUAAAUCUACAUUUCCAUCAUGUGCAAGUAAAUGUAGCUUAUUUUGCAGAAAUAAUCAAGGCCUGGUAAUACAGAUCACUAUAGAGUCCAUAAUUAAAUCUUUGAUGAGUGUUUCAAAGUGAUUUUUAAAUGUGGCUUAUAACGUGCUUUACAAAAGCUUUGCUUCUGUCAUUGUGACUUCCCAAAUGUUCCUCUGGCAUUGUCCAGGUUUAAUUUCUAUUCAAAUUCAAAAUGGAAGUGUUUGUAAUGGAGUAAAUAAGUGUUGUCUGUAGGUAAGGAAAACAAUUAAUUUUCACAGCAGCUUUCCUAUGGAAGUGUAAAGGAUCUAUCUUCCUGAUGUCAAGAGGCCCCCAGUCCACCUGCCCCUCUGACAGCAGAAAAAUGGGGUGAAAAGGUGUGUUCUUGUUGGGUUUUUUCCUGGAAUAAUUUCUUUGCUAUUGAAUUCCUUGUUCAAGACAGACUUUCAUUGCCUCAUCUUAGAAGAUGGGAGCUCCAGGUUUGCAGUGAUAAGCAGGCUGCCUGCAGGCAAUUAGGGACCUCAGGGCUUGCAGAGUCUAGUCACUAAAAUAUGUUCCAGCUCGAGUCAUUGUUUAACAAUCUGAGUCUCUUACAGCUGUGAAACACUCCCAUCAUCAAGUGGGUCUCUGGGACUCCCUCAGGAACGGCAGGCUCUAGAUAUCCAGCUGCUAGGAACAAAAAUAAAUCUCUUUGAAGACUUAUUUGCCAUCACAUUGUGUGAGGACUUAGAAAGGCUUAAGCAUUUUAAUCACUAAUCUCCAUUUAGCAAAUCUUGUCAUUCUUAACAAAACUCCAAAAUAGUUUCAGCUGUGAGCUGGAUGUUGAUGACACCAGACUGUCUGUAGGUAUCAAUUUUGUGGUUGAGAUGUGCCACACACAAGACGUGCCUGUUGCGCUCAGAACAGCUCCUGCCCAUGCAGAGACAACCAGGGAGCUUUUCAGAACUCAUUAUUAUUUAUGCUCUUGGCUGUCAUGGAGGGAGAACAGCAGAACUUUAAUAGUUAUUGAUCAUCAGCCUCUAUUGAGCAGUAUUGGAAUAUCUUUCAUUGAUGGUCAGUCGGCCUUUGUUGCUGAGAGAUGGUGUUGGUUAUCUGUGCUGUGCUGUGGUACCAGCAGCAGCAAUUACAAGUGAUCACCUCAGAGAAAUAUUCACUGCACAAGUUGGGUUGAAAAAGUAUCUCAAUGCCUCUCAAACUCAGCAAACCCUGCUAGUCUUGACUUCACUGGGAUGCGAAGAAAUCCCAUUUUUCCUCCCUUCUGAGCUGCUUGUUUCAAAAUAUGGACUGUUUCUCUUUUUCUUCCCCCCAGAUUUUUAAAUUUUAUUGCUGAUAUAAAAAGGAAGGAAAUAAAAAAAAUUCUAGGAAAAUCCGUGUGUAGCUAAAACAUUCUUGACCUCUUCCUUGCUAGUACUUAAAAGCAUUAGAUAAAUUGAUAGCAAACGUGCUCACAACUUAAAGGUGAGCUCUUAAUAACUUAAAAGCUUUUAAGCUGGUAAUUAUUUCUAGUAUAUUUCAUUAGACUGAUUUUCCUUAUCGUGUUCCUCCUUUUUUUAUAAACCAUGUUUGCUUCUCCCUUCUGGAGCAACCCAGAGAGCAUCGAUGCCCCACUUGUGACAUUGGGCUGGGCUGUGCAGUCAGCAGAAGGAAAGGUUGCUGCAUGUGGGAAAACACACCCUGUCUCCAUAUGCACAAAUAUCCACAAAUAUCCAAAGUGAGCACUUCAAAGGAACAGCAGCUCCUUGCUGGCCAAGCACGUGGAUAUUCCAGGAACACCCUCGGUGUUCCCUGCUCUUCUAGGAGACAAACUCCUCCAGACUUCAGGAAAACUUUACUUCAGCACUUCUCUGUCAGAGGCACAAAAAGUCCUCAGAUUAUUUAGGGACAAGAACCUUAUCCCACUUCAGAGACAAGACAGCUUUUGGAGGUACAGAGGUUAGAUUGUCUUCCCAAAUCAAUACAGCAUGGGAAUGAGGAAUAAAACAUCCUAGCCCAAAAGUUAUUUUGGAGGGGUUUUAGUUCUUUUGAAGCACCAGCCAAAGCCCUUUGCAGGCUCCUGUGGAAAUGUUCACAUUAACAUCAGUUUUUAAUUUUUCUAUGGUUUGGAUCUAUUUGAUGAAGCAGAGAGAAUAAUGUUGAAAUUGAUGGAAAAUGGUAAAAAUAUUUUGACUUGCUCCUGAAUUUUAAUAUAUUUUUUUAAGCUGUGUGGUUUUGACUGAUUUUAUUUGUGUCCAGUGCUGCAAGAAGGGAGACCCCAGGCUGUGCUUAUGCAGAGUGAGGAGGAGACUCCUACAGUAGCCUUGCUGACCUCACCUUCUUUCUCAGUACAAUUUCUCAUCAAAUUCCCAUAGCUUCUGAUAUUUUUGUUUAAUUAUUCCCUCCCAGAAAAGAUUUUUCCUCUUACCCUUAGUUCCAAGGUCUUUCUGUCUGAUUUAUCUUCUAUUUUCAGGACUCAAUGAAGCAGAAAAACAAUGUUAGUCUUUGGUGGCCAGGGAAAAGGAGGAAAGCUCGUGGUGGUCUCCAGAUGAUCUGGCCUGAUUGAAGCAAUCUCCUUCCACAAGGAGGGAGCAAAGGGCUGGCGAGUGCAGGUAAAGCUGCCUGCACUCCAUGUGCUAAGAAAUCACCCACACAAACACAUUCCAGCUUUGGCAGUGCUCUAGCAAUGGCUAUUACUGCUCCAGGGAGGAAAUAAUUAAAGCCAUUUCUUGACUCUGACAGUUUGAUACUGGUGGUUUUCAAUAGCAAAUUACCAACAUCUGUACAGCAAAAUUCAGCUACUGCAGCAAUUAUUCAACAGGGCUAACCACAGAGGUGCUAGGAAUUUUUCAUUUUCUAGAUGUCCCCUCGUUAGGUGUGACCUGCAAUUGAGACCCAAGCUCCACACGAUGGCAAACUUAGAAAUGUAAACGAAACCAUCUGGAAACCUGAAUAUUCUGUGAAAACCCCAGUGGCAAAUGCAUCAAAGCCAGAAAAUGAAAAACUGGAAAAACAUCUGAAUGGCUUUCUUAAUUAUGUGACAAUUUCAAGUUUCCAGAGCAAUUCAGAAGUAAAAUUUAUACAAAUGAUUAGAUUCCACAAAAAUUAGGGCUUUUCAUUCCCACAUACUCUUACAACUGUUUUGCAUAGUAAACACAAUGAGUGUGAAUGUACAAGCUGAAAACUCACAUCUACAACCUGUAGCAAGCAGCACAGCACUGCAGAUUUUCAUUGCUGGUGAAAGAAAGCAGAACUAAAUAAGCUCUAUAUAUCUCUAAGUCAAAUAUUUAUUUUUAAAUAUUAGCUAGGAAAGGUAAUGCAAAUACAAUCAGAGGCUGUGAGAUUAAAUAUGUUUCUAGGAGGGACCUGAUUUGGGAUUGUUAAUAAAAAUGCCUUAUUUCACUGCUUAUGUGGUAAAUACUUGUUUGUAAGGGGUUUUUGUUAUAAUCCACUUUGAUCAUGGUUUACUGAUAUAUAAAACUUGAGUUUAGUUUGUAAAUUGGCACUCUGUCUUCUGUUCUGUUUCACUGUUACUGAAGCUGUAGGACCCCAUCAAGGUGUAAUGUAAUUUGCUGUAAAAGUAGGCAGUAAUUUUAAAGUAGAGCUUCAGACUUGAGCAAUCUUUGGAGUGGCCUGGUGGGGAAUAAAAAUAGAUUGUGCACCUAUCAGGUGAUAACUGAGAGGCUUUAAAAUAGAUUAGUCUUCAUGGCCCAUGUCAGCUAGUUAGGCUAUGCCAAAAAAAAUCACCUAUAGACAUGGGACAAUUAAACCCUUUAGAGAAGAGAGAAACUUGCUUGAAGUGCUAGGAAGUCUGAGCAAGUUCCACAGAGUUAGAUCAAUUUAAUUUAGAUAUUGAUAUGCAAGUGCCAGUCAGCUUAAUAAUACCUUUAAUUGAUUGCUACACAGUUAUACUUUGGAGUUGAUAAGGAAGAUCUUACUGUAAUGAUAUUUUAUCAUAACUAUCAUACAGCAAUCUCCAGGCCUCAUUGCAAGCUGUGUGUUGUGCAGGUUAUGGUCAGAUUUAAUCAGUAUCUAUCAGCUUCAAAUCCAAACUUCAGGAAAUGAAGGUCACGACAUAGCUUGUGGCAGUACAAAACUCAAGUUCUGUGCAGAGGAAUUAAGUGUAAACUAAAUAGGCUGGGAGAUAUUUGUAGAGUUUUGAAAAGGAAGAGAUUCUGCUCUGUGUUCCGUCAGAUGCGUGUUAUAGAGGAGAAAAUAGCUCAGUGAGUGUUUUCUUUUCACUCUUAAUCUUCAUUUGCCAUGAAUGUGGACAGGCCGAGGCAAGGUAUUAUAUUCACAUCAGCAAUGCCUUCAGACACUGUGAUGACUUAUUGCAGUGAGACCCACAUGAAUCAAUAUUGAUUGGCCACUUACUUUAAGGCUACUUAAUUAAACCUAACAGGAUGGCACAGCUUCCAGGCAAACCCACAGCACUGUGAUUUAUGAGUGCACUGGGGAGAAAGUGGGAAGGACACGGUGUAACAGUUCUCUUUACUCUGCAAUUGAGAUCUUUUUGUGUAAGGUGAAAUUAAAGAGUUUAAAAAGAGGAGCUGAAUGAGUGCAAUAAAUAAACUAAAAGGGCUGUUUUGUCAUUAUCUAGACUGUUAGAGAGGACUUCUGGCUUUUUUCCAGGGUACCUGACUGUCUUAUUGCAUACUGGUAUCAUCCAGAGCAUCCAACAUGAAGCUCUCUAAUGUUAGUGAUGAAAUAAAAUUACUUCCCUUUGACUGGGGUUGGAGUGAGCAGAAGUGGCAUCACUGUUCUGUCAGGUUGGUCUUUUGUACUUCUACCAAAUGUAUUUAGUUCCACAUAUACAUCAAAUUAGAGUGUUUAUUUAUGGUAUCUACAUCUGGGGGAAUCUGAAAUACGGGUUUUUCCUAGAAAUCUCCAUCUCUUGAUGCUUGGGGAGCAGUAAUUUAUUUCUUUAUUCUAUCAAGGUGAUUUAGGCAACAAGUUGUUCUUUAUGUGACAGCCUUGUGUAUUAUGUGUUUUUGUUUGACCAGAGAUGCAGAGAAUACCACUCCUUGUGUCACUAACAAAACCCUGGGGCUUUGCACCUCCAGAUAUUUCUGUUUCUCAGUGGCCAGUGGGGAGGAAAAGUAAGAGAAGUCUCACAUAUUGAAAUGCCAUAAGGAAUUGUUUCUCAUCUGCUUGUAUUUACACAAAAAUAAAUAGAUAGAACUAUGACUUUAAAAGUUCAAGCCUUUGAAUUGUGCUUAGCAGGCAUAUGUCAAGAAGUCACUUGCAACACAACUGGGUUUGUUUUUUAUCAGCACUUUCAAUAUCCUGAAUCUCUGCUUGCUAUUGCAAACAGUUUGGUGAGGGAGCAGCUGAGAUGCCAGAGGACAAUGUAUUGCUCUCUGAGGGAAAAGUCUUGGAAAUCGUUAAGAUAAAGGCAAGAAUAGCUUAGAGAAGUGUGAUUUAGGCAGUGAAUUGUUUUUUUUAAAUAUUUCUCCCACAGCCAGAAAUAAGCUUUAGGAAUUUUUUUUUUUUACAUCUGAUACUAGAAGAAACUAAACUUUUUUUUGUUUCCUUAUUGUACUAAAUGAUAGUUUGUGUUUUCUGAGCAUUCUAAAUAAAGCUAGACAACUCCAUUGUUUUAGAGAACUUUAGUGAUAAACUCUUAAUUGAAGUAAUGCACUUGGCUGAAAUCAUCCACUCUAUUUUAGUUCUUUACUUUUGGCCAGUUGUAUCAAUUUCCAAAGACUGGCAGGCAUCAGUUCUCUGUGUUCAAAAGAUUGGAUUUUUGAAGGUUUUGAACCUUAGAAGUUACAGAACUUGCUGCUUCAGGUAUUUCAUCUUGCAGUUUUGUCAGAAGUCUGAAAAAUUAUGCUUUGUUUCUUGAGUUACAUGUAAGAGACCAUAGAGUUCUGCCAAGAAACAUGUAUUUGUAAGGAUUUCUUAUGAAUGAAAAGGAUUUUAUUGAAUGUAGAGUAGUCCUCACAGAGCUCCUUCAACUAUUUGCUUUCUCAUUCUUACUCUUCACUCAUUUUCUUCAUCAUGUUUAUGGCAUGAGUGUUAAGAUUCUUUGAAGGACAGUGUCUCUGACAUCUCAGGAAAGUUUUCUUUUGAAAACUUUUUCUUCUCAGAACUUAUCUUUACCUGGGAUUUCAGGAAAGACCAUGGUGCAGUUGAGCUUAUAAGAAAAACCCUUCAAAGAGGGACUGCAUGUUGCUCCUUGCAACCUGCAUUAGUGCUGGAAGAGUGUCUGUGCUUUCCCAAACAUUUACAUGGAGAUUUAACUGGGCAGGAGCCCCUGGACUUUUGUGUGGGUGAGAGAAUUGCUGUCUUGUGAUGUAGUGUUAACACACACAGCACUCAUAAACAUAAACAGGACUUGCUGGGAUGUGUACCUCUCCUAUUAAAAAAAUAUAGAUAUAUGAAGUAAUAUUUCUCUCCACUGCCAUCUAGUGAAGUUAUUAUGCUCUGUAAAGGCUUUGAGACUCAGCUGAGCAUUCUGGUAAGGAACUGUAUCUUCGUAGCACAGAAAGUCCAUUUGCCUCCAGAGAGUCUGGUAUUCAUUCCUGGGAUAACAGCAAACACUACAAAAUAAAGGAGAUACAAUAAAUUAUGUUAUAGAAUUCUGCAGUGGCUGUGAUGAGAGAGACACUGAAAGGAUUUGUGCAAGUUAUCAUCAUUGCAGAAGUGAUUUGCAGCACCUAGAUUCGAGUUGUAAAGAAAGCAAGCACCAAAAACCUCUGCAGGCAGGUGGAAUGGUGUAAAAUCAGGCAUUUUUUGUAGAAAGAACACAGGUUCACUGGGGCUCCAGAUCUGGUGCCUCCAGUCUACUUCUUCAGGCCUGCAGAGUGGUGCCCACCAAACUCCUUAGUGGUUUUUCAGCCUUUAAUGUCACUUCUUAAAAAUAAAUUUUUUGAGUUUUUCAGCAAUGCCCAGGUUGGUUUGGGCCAUGCAUGAAGGGUGUUCUCUGACAGCAGUGCUGGGAUGGGUACCAAAGGGCUCAUGCUGUGAGCACACUACACCUCUCCAUUUCUGUUCAGCUCAGCAAUUGAUUUUGCUUAAAGAUUUUUGGCUAUUUUUGUAACACAUAAGUAGGUCAGCCCAUCGCUUCCUGGUAGUGGAAAUAGCUAAAAUAGGAGAUACAGAUCUGAAAUCAUUAUUCUCUUCAUGUAUCAUUUAGUGAGCAAAAUCUCUGUUCUAAUACUCAUGUGAAGCCAUAUUAAAAUCAGAAGCUGUUCCCAGUGCAAGAGACUGUAAUGAAGUUGAGAAAAGACAUAAUAAUAGUAUGAUUUAGAGGAAGAAAAAAAAUCAAGAGAAAUGCAAACCUGAUCCCUUUGAUGGCUGAAAUGUGUAUUCUCACUGCCAUAGCUGAGCAGUAUCUCUGCACUCUGAUUCAUUUGCCAUCUUUCCACUUCACUUUCACAGGCACGAUGGAACAGCCCAAAUUCCAUCUGAUCUGUAAACCUGUGCACUUCCCUCUCUAGCUGUAGUAGCAGUGGGCUGGUUUGCUUGUCUGUUUUUCACUUUCCUUCUGCCAGGUUUAUCACAGAAUCUAUUGGGCAGCAUUUAAAGGCAAAUUAUGUGAGUAUACCUCAGCUCUACCUGAAUUAUACAUUACCUUUGAACAGAAAUGAAAGGUGAGUUUAUGUUUUAAUUUGGGGUUUCCUGCUAAAGUUUGUGCUUCCAGGUGGGAACUGUACAUGUACAGACAUGCUUUAUUUUCUAAAGUUGUAUUAAGAAAGUAAAACAAACUGGUCAUCUGGCAAAUAAAAGACAAAUGCAGGGUGGAGUAAGUUUUUUAUUAUUAUUAUUUAUUUUGUAGCUAAGCAUUUUUAAGGUCUUUCAUUGAAUUGUGUAAUAAAUUGUAAAUUACAUAACAAAAUUUCUUAAUCUUGUUUGCUAAAAUGUGAGAGAGAUUCAGGAACCUUUGAAAAAUCUGAAGCUUGGAAUUCUGAAUGAGUUUGUUCUAUUCAGUAAUUGGAGCCAUGUUUAAAGAAAAGGCAAAUCCUUUAUUUUACUGAAGGAAGGAUAAAUAGGAUUGAAUUGUAGCCACAACCCCCCAACCAACCUGAGUGAUUGAGAGAGUUGUUGUUUUACCUGUCUCUUGAGGUAAUGAAUAAAUCUUAAAUAAUGAGUAAAUCUUCUAAAUAAUCUUAAAUCACAGUCUCCCCAGGCAUAUUUACAGAGUGCCAGGGCAGCAAGACAAUGAUCAUGCUGCUAAUUAUAAGUAAGCAAACAGUUUGGUUCAUUGGCCACUUCAGCACUAACCCUUUUUUUUUUUUUUUUUUUUUCCAUUUCAUUCCAAUUUGCAUUUAAGCUUCUUUGUUCAAGGAGCCUUCUUCUUAAGUUAGAAGCAAUGACAUUUGAACACUUAAUUGCAUAGUGCCAUAAUACUUCAUUUUUAUUGAAAAAAAAAAACCUCAAUUCUAAGUAGAAAAAUUCAAACAGUACAUUUUUCUUUACUUAGGUUUUCACUCCAAGUGUUGCAAGAGGAUGUCAUGGAAAGAAUAUGGUUCCUAAGCAGCCCUGUUAUCAAUAAGCAGCUAAGAAAGUACAUUAGGAACUUAGAGAUAAUAAAUGCAUCAGGAAGAAUAAAAAAAUUUAAUUACUGUGGUCUUUUCAACCAGAAUUUUAAUUCCUGGUUUUGCCAUUACCAGCAGGCUAUUGACACCCAAGGGAGCUGUGCUUUCCAGGAGGCUCCUGGGGUUAGUGCCUACACCACCCAAAGCCAGGACUUUGCUUCAACUCUCAUCCAACACAUCUGGGAUAAAAAAAGGGCUGCUCCAAGGCCAUGGAUCAAGGACUGAGCAAGUCCAGGUCACAGUUUUGAAUGUUCCUACUCAGGAUAUGCUACAGAAUCUAAAAGUUCAGCAAAGUGGCUGCACACUGGGACAUGAAAAGUGCAUUUACAGGAUUAUUUUUUGCAUUGAAGAGAAAUCAAGCAUUUUCUUCUGUAUAAAGAAAUGUCUUGGACAUGAGGAAGAAAAGGAAUAUGUUAAUCCCUGUGUUACUGAUUUGCUAUUUUAAAAUUCCAGUUGUCCCUGGACUCACUAAGAAUGUGAGGGGGAAACACAGUGAUGAGGGGCUAUAAACACAAGGGCCAGGACAUAAAGCAGAGGAUAUGUAUGUACUCAAAAUGGUUUAUGUAUGUUUGCUUUGAUCUUUAAAUGUAAACCUAAUGCUUAUCACAAGUUACUGAUUGCUUGCCAGAACCAGAUUUGCCUUGCACUGUAGCAUCAAACUUGAGGCAAUGAAAGCAGCACGAAAAACAGCUUGGCAGAAUGAAAAAUAGCUUCCAAGCUGUUAGUGCCUUGGACUUUCUUGGCUUUUCUUUGCCUGUAAAACCAGAGGUGAACAUAUCAUCCUUUUAAAUUUCUUUGAUAAAUCUCAUCCCCUUUAGGAUUAAACAUUACGGAACAUUUUUAUGCCUCAGUGAGCUCUUUCAGAGAAACAAAAAUUAAUUCUUUAGCUCAACAUUUAUACUCAUAAGACCUAAUUCCCCUUGACUGUAGUUAUUGUAGCCAUGCCCAUUCGUACAGAGUGACCACACUGUUACUCUCCUGUCUGCUUUGUGCACUUAGAUUUUAUGUACAGAGAUUUUAUGGGGCUCUGACCAGUGGGAAAUGACUCAGUAGUGUCUUGCAGGGGUGAGUUGGAUGGGUAGAUGUCAAACAUGGAUUUUGGAUGCAAAGCCAGGACACUCCUGUGCAUUCUGUGUGUGCAAAAUCAGGCUUAACCACUAAGCUGAACACAUAGAGACAAGAGUUAGCACCUCAUUAAUACUCAAAUAUUUGCAAAAUCAUUAUUGGCACAAUGUGACUCAGCUCUCCUGAAGGAUUUGGGCCACCUGAUUUAUACCUUUGGAGGAGAUCUGGCAAAGGUGAACAGGGACACAGCAGAUGGGGUUUUGAAUGGCUACCCUGUGGCUCCUUGGAAGGAUAUCUUUACUAGCCACAGUCCUUUUAGUUGUCUGGAUCUCAGUCCUUUCAAAACAAUUUCCUAAGGUGCCUGAGGUAAAAAAGUAAGAAUUUUGUGAACAGCUCAGGUUUUAUAUGAUGAGAGUUUGCUGUGAGAUGGCAGUUCACAGCAAGCAAUAACUGAAACUAUUUUCCAUUAUUCCUGUUUGCUUUUCUGAGAGCCAGCUAAAUAAAGCCUGUAUAUUUACACAAGGAGCAUCCCAAUAAGCAGUUCAUGUGCAGUAUUCAGUAUCUGUGUAGCAGCUUAGAGCAGGGAAACAGGUGACAGUGUGUGAAGGUGAUACA